UGGUGAUGGUCUGAUGGAUCUAGGAGGAUUGAUAGUUUGUAGCAAUAUUGUAGAAUGAGAUGUUUAUUUCAUUUUAUUUGAAAUGGAUGAGUGCUCUGCAUAUUUGUUAGGAGAGAAUCCAUGUUUCAAACGUCUGUUGCCAGAUAAGUCAAGAUUUGUUAGUAGUUGAUGCAAAGGAGGAGGACUUGUUGGGUUGUGGUGACGUCCUCGGCCUAAUUGAUGGAGAAGCAAUCCCUCAUCUCAAUGGUCGAUGGUCCUGUGAUAAAUCCCGGCCUAAUCUCUCAUCGGUCACAUAGAGCUUGAGAAAAUCACCUCCAUGCAUGUAUGAAAUCCCAAUGACAGUUGAAAAAUAAAAUUGGAAGUUUGGGAUGAUGAUCUAUGAUAUUUAUUACUUAUUGAUAGAGCUGACAUGUGAUUUAAAUGCUAAUGAGGGUAGUUUAGGUUUCAUUGUCUUUAAUAAUUUUUGGCUUGGCCGUCAGGGUACUGCAAUGCUAUGGGUUGAUAAAGAAAGAAGGGAAACAAACGAGAAAGCAAGACAGAAUUGGCAGAAUCAAGACAAAGGACGUACCCUGCAAUGAAUUGAGAGUCGCUACUGGAAUAUUUCUUUAUUUAUUUUUGUUAAUCUUUUUCUGGGACUCCAAUUUGUUCACUUGAUGUUGAUAGAUGUUUUCGAGGGAUCUCAUACUGUUUUUCUGCCAGACCGCAUACAUCCUGAGACUCUUGUUUUGGACCUUCACGUUGUUCACUAGAUGGUUUUUCUAGAUUCUGCCGCCGAAGAUGAAGAGAGUGCUGUUGUGUUUCUUCAGAGCAAAAUGGCAGAGUUGCCUCAACGUAUCUAAGGUCCCACUGAACCAGGUUGAGAAGUGGAACAAGCAGAGGGAGAAUGAGACAUUUGCAGGGCCCCUCGAAAUCGACUGUUUGAGAGUCUCCUCGGUUGCUUUUGUGUCUACGCUACUACUGACUUGUAGUUGGAAUUUAUGCUCCUGUCAUGUACUCUCUUCCAACAAUCGCUGCAGAACAUCAAGUGAUGCUUUUCUCUAUGUUGCAUAAAUAGUUCAGCAUGCUUAUAUAUUCUCAGCAUGCUUAAAUGUACGCAUGUCUUGCCUCGAACUUGUGAAUGCCGAGAACCUAUGAGACAUUUUUGGUUCUAAGUCAUGCUGAUGUGAGAGAAUAUGUUGUUGUUAUGUGACAGCGCAAUUAUGUGAUGAUAUAUUGAUUCCAAGUCAAGAGAAUUAUGUUGUUCAUGUGAA